GUGCUUGAUUCAGCAGCACAUACACUAACAUUGGAACAAUACAGAAGUUAGCAAGGCCCCUGUGCAAGGGUGACAUGCAAAUUUGCGAAGAGGUCCAUAUUUUU